rnacentral:sRNA from 1 species
AGGGCCUGUAAUCUAGUGGUUACAAGAGCCUCAGUAGCACCUUAGAUCCUGGGUUUGACUCCUCAUGAGAGAGCGAUUUUUUUAGGAUUUAACGGCUUUGUGUUUUUAGUGGUAGAAGUGUUUGUGGGUCAUGAGAGCGAUUUUUUUAGGAUUUAACGGCUUUGUGUUUUCAGUGGUAUGCGUGUUUGUGAGUGUCUGCGUUCAGUGGCGAAUCCAGGAUGUAAAUUGAGGGGGUGCUAGUGUAAAAAUAUAAUGUGAUUAAAACAAAUAAAGAUAUAUCAACUAAAGUAUUUUCCAAUGAAUACCAAAAGCGCAUAUGAUCAAAACAAUUUUCUCUAUUUUGAUUUGUGUCUAUCUUAAAAUAUUCAUAAAAAUCUGUGAAUAUAUUGUUUUGUAUACUCAGAGUAGAUUCUAUUUGGGAAAAUUUGAACCAUGCCACACAAAUUUUCCAAAAUUUGUGAUAUGACACCCUGACCCACAUGUCAUUGACUCAUGUGGGUUCUACAUGUCAUUGAGAUACGGGUGGCAUAUCUCAAAUUUUGCAAAAUUAGGGUGGUAUGGUUCCAACAAACCCAUUCUAUUUUACCAGUUUGGACAGUAGAAGCAGUGAGGAAGCCUGCAUCUUUGCCGUCUGGGAAUUUUCUUCACUAAUGACUAACUAGACUUGUUAAUGAUUAAUUAGGGGUAGGGAUUAGAGCUAGGGCUGGCGCACCAACCAGUCCCAACAGUGGAUCCGCCACUAUCUGCGUUGUACUGUAUAAUUCUUAAAAAAAAAGUUACGUUGUACUGUGUAAUUCUC